GGUGAACGCUGGCGGCGUGCCUAAUACAUGCAAGUCGAGCGAACGGACGAGAAGCUUGCUUCUCUGAUGUUAGCGGCGGACGGGUGGGUAACACGUGGAUAACCUACCUAUAAGACUGGGAUAACUUCGGGAAACCGGAGCUAAUACCGGAUAAUAUUUUGAACCGCAUGGUUCAAAAGUGAAAGACGGUCUUGCUGUCACUUAUAGAUGGAUCCGCGCUGCAUUAGCUAGUUGGUAAGGUAACGGCUUACCAAGGCAACGAUGCAUAGCCGACCUGAGAGGGUGAUCGGCCACACUGGAACUGAGACACGGUCCAGACUCCUACGGGAGGCAGCAGUAGGGAAUCUUCCGCAAUGGGCGAAAGCCUGACGGAGCAACGCCGCGUGAGUGAUGAAGGUCUUCGGAUCGUAAAACUCUGUUAUUAGGGAAGAACAUAUGUGUAAGUAACUGUGCACAUCUUGACGGUACCUAAUCAGAAAGCCACGGCUAACUACGUG
rnacentral:rRNA from 1 species